GUUCAGCAGAUCCCAACAGUUGCAAAGCGGUUGAGCGAAUGAUACGUAGCGCUUAGUGAUGAAAAUCGUGUCUGCUGAACGGGCUGAACACGGUUUAUCUCACAUCUCGUCACGUGACUUCAGUGUAUCUCGUCACGUGACCGCAACUUAUUUGGAAUAUGACAGAGGUUAGAUUCGAUUGGUACAGCUGAUAGACUUUCGAGGAAAGAGGAUACGGAAAAAGCCGGUAUUUCGGAAGUUAUUCAAGUUAAGCAGCUAGAGAUACAAGAUUUCAAUAUGCUCGUUACAUCGCUGGCCCUCUUUUCUAUUAUAUUGGCAUAUUUUUACUUGUGUGACAGGUAGCGGAGAAAAAGUUUAAUGGGAAAAAUGGCGUCCGCUCCCGGAACAUGUUGAGUAGCGGUAACUGAGCGAAGUGCGUUCAGCAGACAUCUACACAACAGUUGUACAACAGUUGCGUCUGCAACGCGCCUAUUGAAACAUUGAAACUGAAACUAAAUAACUGAUGUAUAAAUAGAACCGUAACCAUAAACAAUAUUAAUAAGAUUUUCACUAAAACAUGCAACAGUGCUCGUGCAUUUUUGACUUGCAAUGUUUAAUAAAGUUGUUGCAAAAGCCA